rnacentral:lncRNA from 1 species
AAAAUUCAACAGAAAAUUCUGCUUAGUCAACAUAGUGUCCUCCUUGAGUAUUUCCCAGCAAGAAUGGAAAAAACCAUCCAUGAGUUUCCUGCCUUCAAUGAAAUCUGAAAAAUCAAAUCAAUCAUGGCGCUUAUGACUUCAUUAUGUUUCUUCUUUUUAAAUCCCUACCCUCCUUCCAUGUUGCAAUGCCCCACCAUAACUGCUGCGUACCACAUGAUAUUUGGUUUGUGCAUCCCUGUAAAUACCAAUGAAAAAUCAAAUCAAUUAUGGCCCUUAUGACUUCAUUAUGUUUCUUCUUUUUAAAUCCCUACCCUCCUUCCAUGUUGCAAUGCCC